GACGGAGGGGGCAAGCGUUGUCCGGACUCACUGGGCGUAAAGGGCGCGUAGGCGGUUCGAUAAGUCCCGUGUGAAAUCCCUCGGCUCAACUGAGGAAUGGCACGGGAAACUGACGGGCUUGAGUUCGGGAGAGGGAAGCGGAAUUCCGGGUGUAGCGGUGAAAUGCGUAGAUAUCCGGAGGAACACCGGUGGCGAAGGCGGCUUCCUGGACCGACACUGACGCUGAGGCGCGAAAGCUAGGGGAGCAAACGGG
rnacentral:rRNA from 1 species